rnacentral:misc_RNA from 1 species
AACGCACGAGACCUGCGGACCUGCGGAAGGAUCAUUAUCGAGUGUUAACCUACACCCCGUAAAAAAGGGUGUGGUACCUCCUGUCCUUUGCAGGCCCCUUUUUAUUAGGGGGCUUUUUAAGACUUUCUGCUUCGGCGGGGUAACUCCCGCCGGAACACCCUCAAAAAAAUCUUGAAUCAAAAAACCGUUCAGUCCGAGAAAUUUCUUAAAAAUUAAAUAAAACUUUUAACAACGGAUCUC